UACGUAGGUGGCGAGCGUUAUCCGGAAUUACUGGGCGUAAAGGGCGCGUAGGCGGGACUGUAAGUCAGAUGUGAAAUCUCCCGGCUCAACCGGGAGAGUGCAUUUGAAACUGUAUGACUUGAGUGAUGGAGAGGUAAGCGGAAUUCCUAGUGUAGCGGUGAAAUGCGUAGAUAUUAGGAGGAACACCAGUGGCGAAGGCGGCUUACUGGCUCGUAACUGACGCUGAGGCGCGAAAGCGUGGGGAGCAAACAGG
rnacentral:rRNA from 1 species